UGGGGAAUAUUGGACAAUGGGGGCAACCCUGAUCCAGCGAUGCCGCGUGAGUGAAGAAGGCCUUCGGGUCGUAAAGCUCUUUAGGUUGGGAAGAAGGUUGGUUGAGGAAAUGCAAUCAAUUUGACGGUACCGACAGAAUAAGCACCGGCAAACUCUGUGCCAGCAGCCGCGGUAAUACAGAGGGUGCAAGCGUUAAUCGGAGUUACUGGGCGUAAAGGGCGCGUAGGCGGUAUUAUGUGUGUGAUGUGAAAGCCCCGGGCUUAACCUGGGAAGUGCAUCGCAAACUGUAAAACUAGAGUAGAUGAGAGGGUGAUGGAAUUUCCGGUGUAGCGGUGAAAUGCGUAGAGAUCGGAAGGAACGUCAAUGGCGAAGGCAGUCACCUGGCAUCAUACUGACGCUGAGGCGCGAAAGCGUGGGGAGCGAACA
rnacentral:rRNA from 1 species